UACGUAGGGCGCAAGCGUUAUCCGGAAUUAUUGGGCGUAAAGAGCUCGUAGGCGGUUUGUCGCGUCUGCCGUGAAAUUUCGGGGCUCAACCCCGAACUUGCGGUGGGUACGGGCAGACUAGAGUGUGGUAGGGGAGACUGGAAUUCCUGGUGUAGCGGUGAAAUGCGCAGAUAUCAGGAGGAACACCGAUGGCGAAGGCAGGUCUCUGGGCCACUACUGACGCUGAGAAACGAAAGCAUGGGGAGCGAACAGG
rnacentral:rRNA from 1 species